AUUUCUUCUUUUUUAUGAUGUCCACGCCAACUUCCAUCGUGAGCGAAGGCCCAGCUCUUUUUGUUGUGUUUGUUUUGUGGCUCUGUGAAGACAUAAUUCAGCAGACCUUGGUUCAUAGAAUGAUGGAAUAUGCUGAGUUGGAAAGGACCUGUCAGGAUCAACUCCUGGCCCAAGGAUCACUCCAGGAGAUGUCAGUGUGCUCCAAUGGCUGUUUGCUCCCCAGCUCUGGUGCUUUCCAGCCCACCAGAAUGAAUCCCACCAAUGCCCUCCAGUGCAAACCCCAGAGCUCAGAGAGCUGAGGACACACCAGAAGGUCUGGCACGGCCCAGGGAUGGGAGCCAGGGUGAGGACAGGGGGGCGAAGAUGGAUAAAGCUCAUGGGAUGGCUGAUUUGCUGCCUUGAACUUGGUGACCUUUUCUUCCUGCAAACGUGUGUGGAAGGGCAGGAGGUGUGUGAGCACCCACCUGUCCACGGGCAGGGGGUUGGAGGGGACCUUUCCAGCCGCUCGGAGAGAGAGCGGCUCCGGCUGCCGACACCUCCUGGCAGGAGGCCUUUCAAUUGCUCCAUGUCUGUGUGCUGGAAAGCAAGACCUGCUGAGAUGAAACCCUCUGGCCUCCUCCCCCCGUCUCCAAGGCAAACACAGACAGUUCUGUUCCUACCCCGAGAAAUCCAUAUUUCAGCCUUGGACUCCCUUUGUGUGGGCUUUGUUUCAUCCAGCGCCACGGAGCUUGGAUGGCUUUUGCAGCUCAUAUUGUGCUUUGGAUGCAGCCUCCUCUCUCCAGCCCUCUUGCUGCCUCCAUAAAGAGUAACAGCGGCCGGUGUUGUGUUUUCCCUGGAUCACGGGCUGCUGGAAACCGAAGGGAAACGUUGCUGGAAGAGGGAGAGGGCUGGUGGGCCGCCGCCGGAUCCUUCUCCCCAGCAGAGCUGCAGCCUGGGCUGUUUGGCUUUCUCAGGCCUUCAUGGUGAGCAACAAAUUGUCCUAUAAAAAUUCUUGCCUUGAAUUUUAUUUUUCUAAGGAGACAGGCCCAACUUGGGACUUAAAUCUCCCCCUUAAAUGGAUGGCAAAGUCCAAGAUAGAAGCCAUGGUGCUGAAAUCCAGUGGGAUCUUCAGGUUCUGCCUCCCUCCUUCCCUAAAUCUGCAUCUGAAGCCUCUUUUUCUGGCUGUGGAGGAAGAAAAUCUUGCGAGGACAUUUCAGCUUCUCUUGCAGGCUGGCUACCAGUGUUCCAAGGAGGAGAGGGAGGAAUAACCAACAUUUCCGGCCAUCGGCUGCUCGCACGGCCCCCGGGAGCUCCUCAGGAAGGUUUUUAAAGGAAUAUUUAUGGAUGAUCCCGGUGAAUCAGGCCCUAAAAGGAAAACUGAGCACAGGAGGAGGGAUGGUUUGGUGGAAGAGCAUCCUGGGGUUUCCACUUUCAGAGCCUUUUCCUGAGACAUGAGUCACUUAAAAGCCUCCUGUAGACUCACUGAUAAGAGAAACUCCCUCGAGGUUUGCACGAGCUCCAGGAGCAACCCAGUGGGGCAGCUGGAGCCUCCUGGCAUGGGGGAAUCCCUGCUGGCUGUGCCCUGCCCAGGACAAGGGACAUCAUUUGGGGUCAGCUCUGGUUUCUUGCCCAAAUUUAGUGAUCACAGUUAGGAGCUUUCCAAAAAGCAGAGAGUGAACCUAUUUCAUCAGAGAAUCAUUGAAUGAUUGGGUUGGAAAGGACUUUAAAGAUCAUCCUGUUCCAUGGGCAGGGACACCUUCCACCAGACCAGGUUCAAACUUUGGACACCUCAGCCCAUCUUGGAGCUGCACAGAGCCACAAAGUGCCUCUCAGCCUGACCCCAAGAUGAGCCCCAGCCUCGUGCAACAUCAAAAAACCAAGACCCCGUGGAAUGUGUGACCUUUCAUGGCAGAUGAUUUCCAAUCAUAGGACUCCGUUGGAUCUGAGUAAUUAAGGACAAGACAGGCCUGAAAGUGCUCUGCCUGCAGACACAGGAGGAGCCUACAGAGUCCCCUGUUCCCAAAAGCAGGGCUGUGAGAUCUGAGAGCACGGGGGUUGUUCCUGCCUCGGCUCCGGCGGGAACGUCCUCGCUCCGAGGCUGGAAGGUGGGUGAAGAAAGGGUCAAAACACAUCCCCCCCAACUGCAGGAGGAGAAGAAUGUUGGCAGAGCAAACCUUGCCACAGGAAUAAAAGGUUGUCCUGCCUGUUCAUAUUACUCCACGUGGGGUGAGUAAAACUGUCGGUCGGAGUGAAGCGUCUGAUACACAAAAGGGAAUAAAAACUCGUUAAAGGGCUGAAAGAAAACCCUGUUAAAAUACCGAAUAUACAAUGGAGGAGACUUGAUCACCCUCGUGCUCGAGAGGAGUGUCAGGCUUUGAAGGAAUCUGAUUUUUUUUCCCCCUGAAAGCAGCGGAAAUGCGCUCUGUGGGGAGCCAGGUGGGAUGAGGGGCAGGUAGAGUGUCAAAGAGCACUGAUAAUAUUUCAGGGCCACGCUCGGAGCCUGAAAUACGAAGGGGAUUUAUUCAGCUUUCUGUGGGGAGGGGAGUGAUAGCAGAUUUUUGAAGGAAUUCCAACGUGGUUCAUACUCGUCUGGUUCUUAAAUCCAGAGCCCUCGGCCUCUGCUGUGCCGGGAUAGGAGCAUCUCCACUGCUCCCCACAGCCCAAAGGGAAUCAGCACUGGUGGCUCCUCGGGGUGCUCCUGCCCUGGCCUGGCUCCUGUCCCCCUGAAAACCCCAAAAAAAAGAGCUUUUUAGAGGGCCUGAACUACCCUGAGAACCCUCUUUCUCACAGCAUCCUGAUUCUGCUUUAUGUGGUCUUGGGGAAGGGAAGAAAUUGCAAAGGAAAAGAGUAAAGGAACCACCUCAGUCCUCUUAGUGCUGGAAUGAUGGAGCCUGGUUUCCAAUGGAUUUGUGCCUCAGGGCUGAUGGACCUUUAAACCAAACUGAACUGUGGCUGUGGCAGGAUUUCACCCCUUUUUACACACCAGAAAAGUGGUGGGGAAAAAGACAUGAUUAAUACCUCACCCAGAGCAAUUCUUGCCUGGUCAGCCAC